rnacentral:rRNA from 2 species
AAAACGACUCUCGGCAACGGAUACCUAGGCUCUCGCAUCGAUGAAGAACGUAGCAAAAUGCGAUACUUGGUGUGAAUUGCAGAAUCCCGUGAACCAUCGAGUUUUUGAACGCAAGUUGCGCCCGAAGCCAUUAGGCUGAGGGCACGUCUGCCUGGGCGUCUC